rnacentral:rRNA from 1 species
AUUGAACGCUGGCGGCAGGCUUAACACAUGCAAGUCGAACGAGUGGCGGACGGGUGAGUAAUGCUUGUGAAUCUAGCUUAUGGAGGGGGAUAACUACCGGACACUGUAGCUAAUCCCGCGUACCAUAGGAUGAGCCAAAGUGGGAUUAGGUAGUUGGUGAGGUAAAGGCGAACCAGGCCGACGAUCUCUAGCUGGUCUGAGAGGAUGACCAGCCACACUGGGACUUAGAAACGGCCCAGACUCCUACGGGAGGCAGCAGUGGGGAAUAUUGCGCAAUGGGGGAAACCUGAUGCAGCCAUGCCGCGUGAAUGAAGAAGGCCUUCGGGUUGUAAAGUUCUUUCGGUAGGGAGGCGUUAACUACAGAAGAAGCACCGGCUAACUCCGUGCCAGCAGCCGCGGUAAUUC